GGCAUGCACAAAGAUGAGUCUUCGUCUGUGCUCACUCUUUCCUGAGAGAGGAGGGGACAUAACAAGAGAGAAAAGAUGCAGAAAAAGAGAAGAGAGACCAGAGAGUAAAUACAAAGGAAAGAAUGAACCUCCGGCAGAGAGGAACUGGAAACAGUCAGAGAAGAUGGAAGAAAGAAGUGAAGAAAGAGAGAGAGAGAGAAAAUACCCCAGGUGAAAGACAACUUUUAGGUCUUCCUGUCGAAGAUCAGGAGCUUGCACUCACUUCCAAGAAGACAACAGGAGCCACUAGGUCAGGUCAGAAAGCUUUA